AGGAAAUAGUGUAGUGGAAGCACUGAGAGUUUUGAUCUCUCCAGGUAGGGUUCGAACCCCUUUUUUCU
rnacentral:tRNA from 1 species